rnacentral:rRNA from 1 species
UACGUAGGGUGCAAGCGUUGUCCGGAAUUAUUGGGCGUAAAGAGCUCGUAGGCGGUUCGUCGCGUCGGCUGUGAAAUCCCGAGGCUCAACCUCGGGUCUGCAGUCGAUACGGGCGGACUGGAGUUCGGCAGGGGAGACUGGAAUUCCUGGUGUAGCGGUGAAAUGCGCAGAUAUCAGGAGGAACACCGGUGGCGAAGGCGGGUCUCUGGGCCGAUAUUGACGCUGAGGAGCGAAAGCGUGGGGAGCGAACAGG